rnacentral:rRNA from 1 species
UGGUGAGUAACACGUGGAUAACCUACCUAUAAGACUGGGAUAACUUCGGGAAACCGGAGCUAAUACCGGAUAAUAUUUUGAACCGCAUGGUUCAAAAGUGAAAGACGGUCUUGCUGUCACUUAUAGAUGGAUCCGCGCUGCAUUAGCUAGUUGGUAAGGUAACGGCUUACCAAGGCAACGAUGCAUAGCCGACCUGAGAGGGUGAUCGGCCACACUGGAACUGAGACACGGUCCAG